AUUUGUAUAUUUCUGCAGCAGUCAGUCUCUUUCAAAAUAUGGGAACAGCAAGUUAAAAUAAACUGUCUUAUUGGCAGAACAGAGUGUGAUCAUGAGACACCAUUCAGCUUUUAUGCUGAUUCAUCAGCUCACAGUGAAACGAGCUUGCAUGAGAGCAUCCCAGGACCACUGAACAUUCAGAGAUGCUGUGCUGGGGCCUGGGCAAAGCCAGGCAAGAAGUGGUUCCUGCUAUCAGGCUGACUAACAUCUAUCAGAAAGAACAGAUCACGACAUGGUAUCCUGCUAUGUUGACGAGGCUGGUCUCAAACUCCUGGACUCAAGAGACUCUCCUGGGCCUCUCAAAGUGUUGGGACUACAGAGAUGGCCGGUUCCUGCCUUAACUGAUGACAUUCCACCAAAAAAGAAAUGAAAAUGGCCUGUUCCUGCCUUAACUGAUGACAUUCCACCAAAAAAGAAAUGAAAAUGGCCUGUUCCUGCCUUAACUGAUGACAUUAUCUUGUGAAAUUCCUUCUCCUGGCUCAUCCUGGCUCAAAAGCUCCCCUACUGAGCACCUUGUGACCCCCACUCCUGCCCGCCAGAGAACAACCCCCUUUUGACUGUAAUUUUCCUUUACCUACCCAAAUCCUAUAAAACGGCCCCACCCCUAUCUCCCUUCACUGACUGUCUUUUCAGACUCAGCCUGCCUGCACCCAGGUGAAAUAAACAGCAUUGUUGCUCACACAUAGCCUGUUUGGUGGUCUCUUCACAUGGACGCACAUGAAAUUUGGUGCCGUGACUCAGAUCCGGAGACCUCCCUUGGGAGAUCAAUCCCCUGUCCUCCUGCUCUUUGCUCCGUGAAAAAGAUCCACCUACGACCUCAAGUCCUUAGACCCACCAGCCCAAGGAACAUCUCACCAAUUUUAAAUCAGCAAAAUGACAUGAAUGACUGAAAAAGCAUGUGGAGCACAAGACUCAAGAACUAAGUGAAAGGACUCACACUUCCUGAUUUCAAGUAAAGCUACAGCAAUCAAGACGUGGUAUUGAUGUAAGAAUAGACACAUCAAUGAAUGAAACAGAAUACAUCUUCCAGAAAUAAAUUCACACAAAUAUAGUCAAGAGGUUUUUUGUGUGCUAAAAUGUAUAUAAUAUUUACCAUUUUAACCAUUUUUAAGUGCACAGUUCAGAAGCACUAAGAAUAAACAACGUUGUAUAACCAUCACCAUUAUCCAGUUCCAGAAUUUUUCAUCACCUCACACAGAAACUCUGUACCUAUUAUCAACAAUAAAUUUUCAUUCCCCCCUUGCCCUCAGUCUCUGGUAACCACUAUUGAACUUUCUGUUUCUAUGAAUUUGCCCCUUCUCAGUGCCUAAUAUGAGUGGAAUAAUACAAUAUGGGUCCUUUGUGCCUAGUUUAUUUCACUUGCUGUAAUGUUUUCAAGGUUCAUCCAUGUUAUAACAUGGAUCAGAAUUUUAUUUCUUUUCAAGCAUGAAUAAUAGUCCAUGGUAUGUCUAUACCACAUUGUUUAUCCAUUCAUCAGCUGAUGGAUAUUUGGGGGUUGUUUCUAUCUUUUGGCUAUUGUAAAUGACGAUGUUAUGAACAAUGGUGUAUAAUGUCUAUUUGAGCACUGCUUUGAAUUGUUUGGGGUAUACACUUAGGAGCGGAAUUACUGGAUCAUAUGUCAAUUCUAUGUUUAAUUUUUGAGGAACUGUCGAGCUGUCUUUCACAGCUGCUGCAUCAUUUUACAUUCCCACCACAAUGCAUAAGAGCUUCAGUUUCUCAAAAUCUUUACCAACAUUUAUUUUUCUUUUUAAAAAUAUAUAAUAGCCAUACUAAUAGUAUAAAAUAAUAUUUCAUUGUGCAUUUGAUUUGCAUUUCCCUAAUGAUAACUGAUGUUGAGCAUCUUUUCAUGUGCUUGUUGACCAUUUGUAUAUCUUCUUUUGAGAUAUGUCUAAUCAAGUCUUUGUCCAUUUUUUAAUUGGGCUGGGUAUUAUUCUUCUGUUAUUGUUGAGUUGCAGGAGUUCUUUAUAUAUUCUGCAUAAAAGUUCCUUAUCAUAUAUUGAUUUUCAAAAUCUCUCUCCUAUUCUAUGGGUUGUUUUUUUUUUUUUUUUUUUUUGCUUUCUCAACAGUGUCCUUUAAUGUGUAAAAUCUUUUAAUUUUGAUGAAGUCCAGUGUAUCUAUUUUUUUUUGUUGUUGCCUGUGAUUUUGUUGUCAUUUUCAAUAAAUCACUGCCAGAUCUAAUGUU